AAAGGGCAGAUCCUGGUUAAUGGGAGGCCACGAGAUCUGAGGACCUUCCGCAAGAUGUCCUGCUACAUCAUGCAGGACGACAUGCUCCUGCCGCACCUCACAGUCCUGGAAGCCAUGAUGGUCUCUGCCAACCUGAAGCUGAGUGAGAAGCAAGAGGUGAAGAAGGAGCUGGUGACAGAGAUCCUGACAGCCCUGGGACUGAUGUCCUGCUCUCACAGGA